UACGUAGGGUGCGAGCGUUGUCCGGAAUUACUGGGCGUAAAGAGCUCGUAGGUGGUUUGUCGCGUUGUUCGUGAAAUCUCACGGCUUAACUGUGAGCGUGCGGGCGAUACGGGCAGACUAGAGUACUGCAGGGGAGACUGGAAUUCCUGGUGUAGCGGUGAAAUGCGCAGAUAUCAGGAGGAACACCGAUGGCGAAGGCAGGUCACUGGGACGUUACUGACGCUGAGACGCGAAAGCGUGGGGAGCAAACAGG
rnacentral:rRNA from 1 species